rnacentral:lncRNA from 1 species
AAAGUAAUUCAUAAUCAUAAUAUUUGCUGACAAAUAUUUGUCAAACAUUUUAUUAGAAUGCGUCGAGUUUUUUAAAUUGGCAACACUGGCUUCCCAAUUCACACUAACAGUGACAGUCUGACACAAACAAAAAACAAAAUUUGCAUCGGUUAGUCCGUUACUGUUCUAACAGCUAACACGAAGUAGUUUUAAGUAGUUUAGAAAAGCCAGCAAUGGAUUUUAAUUUCUCCACGCAUAAAGGGAUGGGUGUUGCAAGAAGACAAUUUUCCGUGUACCUUUAUAUGCCAGUGUUACACCACCACUUUGCUGAAAUACAACAAGGCCUUUCAAGUACAGUGCAGCAAGUUGAAGUAGCUUCUACUGAUAAUGAACAAACAACUGAUGGACUGAAUUGAAUUGUUCAUUUUCAGCCACAUUCAUCCUGAAUCGUUAACCAACUGAACAUGAACUAUUGAAUCUAGACAGUUUUGCACCAAAUAGGGUAUCACAUUGAUAACCACUGAACAUAGUUCCACAUCAAAGAGGAAAAUAUUAUUGUUACAGAAAAUCACCAACCAGUGUGAGGAAUCUUGGUACCGAAAACUGCAAGACCAAAUUUUGCCUACGUGUUCCAGGCUUCAACGGAUAGGAAAUAGCUGAUUUUAUGCUCACUCACAUGAAUACCAGGUGAACAAUGGUGAAAAAUGGGGGAAAAUAUCAGCUUGACAUUCCAACACAUGGGAUUCAAACUGAAAGAUGUCCUCCAGGUCUUACAAGUGGCUGGCGAGCAGCUAGAUGGAAUUUGCCAAAUUUCUUUGUCAGCCCUUGACUGAAAUCGUCUCUGCCAUCCAAAAAUUCUGUGACCACUGUUUAGUCCGGAAUACGAAAACCCAUUACAAUCAGGUUGCCAACUGUUUCGUGACUAAAAAAAGUCAACGAAGAAUUCUCCGUUAACGUCGAUUUUUAUCUGCCGGACAAGCAGUGCCUGAAGAGUUUAAUUGGAACCCGGUAUUUCAUGUGCCUGGAGGUGCACGACACGACUUAAUUGAAGUAAAACAUCGAGAAUACAGUGGUGGACAGUUGGACACACAUCUUUCGACAUCAUAUGAAGCUGCAGUUUGCUGGAUGUUGGGACCAUCUUCAAAGAAACUGGUUCAACCGAUUACAAAAUUUAUCCCGACUAUCUGCCACUGUUGAAAAAAGACUGGACGACAAGUUCGGUAACAACUCAGCAAUUUCCAAAAAUAAAACAGAUUCCUAUCUUACUCUAGAAGUUUAACUGAGUUACCCACCAGUGAUCCGGAGAAAAUGACACUCAAACUAGGCAGUGAGAGAUAUUUCUGUAACAUAGGCGCUACAAUGGGCAGACCAGUGUCCAACCAUACAAACGUUCUCAAACUAAAAUGUUUCGAUGCAUAAAUUUCGCGGGGAAUGGUUUAAAAUUUACAACGCUGUGUGUAAUCUACUUGGAAAAAUUAACUUUCCAGUCACUGACAUCGAAGAAUGAUUUAAGUGAAUGGAAUUUUGUAAGUUUGUAACUUUGGUUCAGUUCAGUGUAAAUCCGUUUUGUAUUGAUAAUACAUUAAAUAUCUUUUUGAAUG